ensembl:lncRNA
CAUGUUUUUGUCCCUUGCAGUGGUGGACCCGGGAGCCAGCCUCCUUCCUCGGCUCAGCUGUGCGACUUGGCCAUCUCUAAUUAUGCCUGCUCUCCGGUAAGUCUUCCAUGAACGGUGCACCUGAAUGCCUGUCCUUGCAAAUACUCCCAUUUCUCUGACUGCACAAAUCUGCCCACUUCUUUCAAGGUUGCAUCCUCCCUGUCCUCUGACGCCCUCGUCACACUGCUGACUUGCAAGGUGCCGAGCAGCGUGAACAGCAGCGCAGAGACGUGGAAGCUUUUUCUUCCAGAAAGUCGCGGGAGUUCUGGAGGUUGCUCUGUCAGCGUACUCCAACAACGUGAGUGACACCCCUGCUUUCUGGAACAGGAGAUGGAGUGCUGUCUCUGGGCUCUACAUUGAGAUAUGUCCCUUUGCUUUCACAGACCCUCGGUGGCCAUCAGCCUGAGUCCCGUGUUCUCGAUGCCAUUGGAGAGGUGAAAGUCAACAACUUCAGCGCCGCACAACUGGCAGAUGUCAGCUUCAUUACCGACUGGUUCCAGGGAAGGCUGAGACCAUUCUUGCCUGCAGUCUCCAGGGACUUCCUGUCCUGCCUUAGCUCCAAGAACUUCAGUUGCGACACCUACCAAGUUGUGGUGCAGGCUCUAAGUCGUCAAGCGUCCCUCAUGGAGGUGGGGCAACAACGGGUCGUCUUCACUGAAUUUGUCAAUCCCUUCCUCUCGAGAGACGACCUACCAGGUACUUUAAGCCCUAUCAAUGUCUUGAGUUGCCACCCGUCAUGCUGUAGUUCCUUAGGCAUCCUUCAGCGUCUCGGCUUGUCACGGGUGUUUCGCCAGUUCAAAGGUGUUCUGUUUAAUUCCCCCGAUGUUCAAUCCAGAUCCUGCCUGUCUUGCCAAUACUACGAGCAGCGCUGA